rnacentral:lncRNA from 1 species
UACAUUUUUUUUUUUUGGUAAUAGAGAUUGAACCCAGGGGUGCUUCACCACUGAGCCCCAUCCCCAAACCUUUUUAUUUUUUAUUUUUUGAGACAGGGUCUCACUAAGUUGCUUAGGGCCUUGCUUAGUUGCUGAGGCUGGCCUCACACUUUUGAUCCUCCUGCCUCAGCCUCACAGCACAUGGAAAAGGGAAGAUUCCGGAGUCCCCCCCCCCCCCCCCCCGUCAGAACUGAGCUUUCCAAGGGCAUCGUACACCCCAGGGGUAAAAGGGGCGAUCCCAAGACACCCAAGGAGGGAGCCGGGGCACACCCCGGAGCCCCACGGCCUCUGCCCUGCCCAGCCCUUUCAGACUUCCCACAAAGCCCCCAGGAAGUCAUCAGAGGCCACAUCUGAGGAUGAGGCGCAGGGGCCUCUGUGGGUGGCUAUUGGAGUGAGACGGCCCGGACAGAAUCGGGUGGACAGGACGCUGCCUCAGCAGGCGGGGAUGUGCUGCGCUGUCAGAACGUGCCCAUAAAUAGGGCGCUCCUGGAGGCAGGCCGAGUCCGCAGCGCGUCCUGGUCCCCGUCCUUCCCGAGGCUACAGCAGCAG